AAAGAAUAAAAAUUAAUAAAGUGAAUUGGAGGUAAAAAGAAGUUUUGCUAAGGUUACUGCAAUUCAGAUCUCAAAUACUUGCUCGAGGUGACGUGAAACAAGGCUGCCAUCCGCUAUUGCUGUCACCUCUUAACCUGACAAAUCCAAACAACAGCAAAUCUACCUAAUGCUCAGGUUUAUAAGUAAAAGAAAGCAUGGAGAUAACACUGUAGUCAAGUUCAACGUGGAACCUCCAGGGCGACAUACAAUGAUGGGUAGCAACUCGAUUUCGAAUAGUCAACUUGUUCAUACAGACCCAGUUUCGUCAGCCUGGAAAUGAUUGAGAGAGAUAUCGGCUUACGGAUGGUAAAAUGUGCCACCAACGGUCAUCUAUUUCAACAAUGACGUCAAUUGGUUUAUUUUAAAUGGGUUAAUGUUCAAAUAGAGGACAAAGGAAUGCCAUACAAAUGCAGGUGAACAUCCUAAGCAUAACUUAAAGGCAAAAGUUUGUGGUCUCUUCUUCAAGUGUGGACUUAAACCACUUAGAUUAAUAUUAUGUUGCUACUAAUGAAAAGUUUUGGCGAUCAAGUCUGAUUUUUACACAUCACUGUGCCAAACUGAUUUUCUCUGACACCCGGACAUCUCAGCUCUAAUGAGCGGUAAACCUCAACGGUGCUGUUACAAAUUGUAGUUUGCUAUAGAUAUAGCCUCCAAUUCAAUCACUCCUCUAACCGGUUUGAGCAUCUUACUUUUAUGAGAGUUGGUGGUUAAUGUCUCAUAUGUGUGAUAGUAUAACCAAUGAGGGAGGUGUAAUAACAUUAGUUCUUUGUGCCCCAAACCAGAUAUUCAUGUCUUUCACAUGCACUUCUUUAAUCUCCCCGAAGUCAGACAGAGCAGACACUCGGUGUGUGGCGGGGCUGAUUUAGCUGAUUUAUUUCAAACAAAACACAGCAACAGUUAUGAUCAGAUUCCCUUGGUUCUGUAGGGAAAAUUUACCUUCAGAUA